rnacentral:rRNA from 1 species
GCUCAAUGAUUUUUUAAAUUGCUGUAGUAUUUUGACUAUACAAAGGUAUUGAAAUAAGAUUUUAAUUGAAUGCUAAGAGAAUGGAAGUCCAGAAAAAAACUUUUUUUAAAUUAAAAAUUGAAGUUUUUUUAAUUUGUGCAGAAACAAUUAUUUAUAUUAAAGACAAGAAGACCCUAUGAAUUUAUUAAAUUUUUAUUUAAUAUGUAAUUACUAUUAGAAAAAUUUUGGCUGGGGCGGCUAGAAAAUAUUAUGAACUUUUUAAAAAUAAAAUGAUCCAUUAUUAAUGAUUUUAUGUUAAAUACUCUAGGGA